GUUCAACUUCGUUCAAGACACAGGUUUGCUCCGCAGCAGCAUCAGACCACAGGUCACAAUGAGGUUUCUGAUCCUGCUGUGUGUGUCACUGCUGGCGGUCAGUGAUGCUGCACCAAUCACCGCAACAACAUCAAGUACACCCAACACAGCAACAACAUCAAGUACUCCAACCUCAGCAACAACAGCAAGUAC